AUGGCUCAGGACGAACGCUGGCGGCGUGCUUAACACAUGCAAGUCGAACGAGAAUCCCUGAAAAGAGACUUCGGUCAAUGGAAGGGGAGGAAAGUGGCGGACGGGUGAGUAACGCGUGAGGAACCUGCCUUUCAGAGGGGGACAACAGUUGGAAACGACUGCUAAUACCGCAUGAUGCAUAGGGGUCGCAUGGCCUUUAUGCCAAAGAUUUAUCGCUGAAAGAUGGCCUCGCGUCUGAUUAGCUUGUUGGUGAGGUAACGGCCCACCAAGGCGACGAUCAGUAGCCGGACUGAGAGGUUGAACGGCCACAUUGGGACUGAGAUACGGCCCAGACUCCUACGGGAGGCAGCAGGUGGGGAAUAUUGGGCAAUGGGCGCAAACGCCUGACCCAGCAACGCCGCGUGAAGGAAGAAGGCUUUCGGGUUGUAAACUUCUUUUGUCGGGGACGAGUAGAAGACGGUACCUGACGAAUAAGCCACGGCUAACUACGUGCCAGCCGCAGC
rnacentral:rRNA from 1 species